CCCGACGUGGCCUAGUCUGGUAGGGCAGCGGACUGUAGAUCCGCGGAUCGCUGGUUCAAAUCCGGCCGUCGGGA
rnacentral:tRNA from 1 species